rnacentral:rRNA from 1 species
UACGUAGGUGGCAAGCGUUGUCCGGAUUUACUGGGCGUAAAGAGCGUGUAGGCGGCCAAACAGGUCCGUUGUGAAAACUGGAGGCUCAACCUCCAGACGUCGACGGAAACCGUAUGGCUAGAGUCCGGAAGAGGAGAGUGGAAUUCCUGGUGUAGCGGUGAAAUGCGCAGAUAUCAGGAGGAACACCAAUUGCGAAGGCAGCUCGCUGGGACGUUACUGACGCUGAGACGCGAAAGCGUGGGGAGCAAACAGG